CACCGCGUAUGGAACCUACCUUGUACAGGGGAAUAGCCCAGGGAAACUUGGAUUAAUGCCCCGUGGUACCAUGACCCGGCAUCGGGAUAUGGUUAAAGCCUUCGGGCGGUACAAGAUGGCCAUGCGUCCCAUUAGUUUGUUGGUAAGGUAACGGCUUACCAAGACUACGAUGGGUAGGGGCCCUGAGAGGGGGAUCCCCCACACUGGUACUGAGACACGGACCAGACUCCUACGGGAGGCAGCAGUGAGGAAUAUUGGACAAUGGAGGAGACUCUGAUCCAGCCAUGCCGCGUGCAGGAAGAAUGCCCUAUGGGUAGUAAACUGCUUUUAUACGGGAAGAAAAAGAGCUACGUGUAGCUUACUGACGGUACCGUAAGAAUAAGGACCGGCUAACUCCGUGCCAGCAGCCGCGGUAAUACGGAGGGUCCGAGCGUUAUCCGGAAUUAUUGGGUUUAAAGGGUCCGUAGGCGGGCCGAUAAGUC
rnacentral:rRNA from 1 species